GACGAACGCUGGCGGCGUGCUUAACACAUGCAAGUCGAACGGUAAGGCCCUUCGGGGUACACGAGUGGCGAACGGGUGAGUAACACGUGGGUGAUCUGCCCUGCACUUCGGGAUAAGCCUGGGAAACUGGGUCUAAUACCGGAUAGGACCACUGCCUGCAUGGGUGGUGGUGGAAAGCUUUUGCGGUGUGGGAUGGGCCCGCGGCCUAUCAGCUUGUUGGUGGGGUGAUGGCCUACCAAGGCGACGACGGGUAGCCGGCCUGAGAGGGUGACCGGCCACACUGGGACUGAGAUACGGCCCAGACUCCUACGGGAGGCAGCAGGGGGGAAUAUUGCACAAUGGGCGCAAGCCUGAUGCAGCGACGCCGCGUGAGGGAUGACGGCCUUCGGGUUGUAAACCUCUUUCAGCACCGACGAAGCGCAAGUGACGGUAGGUGCAGAAGAAGGACCGGCCAACUACGUGCCAGCCGCCGCCGUAACAC
rnacentral:rRNA from 1 species